rnacentral:rRNA from 1 species
AGAGUUUGAUCCUGGCUCAGAUUGAACGCUGGCGGCAUGCCUUACACAUGCAAGUCGAACGGCAGCACGGGAGCAAUCCUGGUGGCGAGUGGCGAACGGGUGAGUAAUAUAUCGGAACGUACCUUGGAGUGGGGGAUAACGUAGCGAAAGUUACGCUAAUACCGCAUAUUCUGUGCGCAGGAAAGCAGGGGAUCUUAGGACCUUGUGCUCUUUGAGCGGCCGAUAUCAGAUUAGCUAGUUGGUGAGGUAAAGGCUCACCAAGGCGACGAUCUGUAGCGGGUCUGAGAGGAUGAUCCGCCACACUGGAACUGAGACACGGUCCAGACUCCUACGGGAGGCAGCAGUGGGGAAUUUUGGACAAUGGGGGCAACCCUGAUCCAGCCAUGCCGCGUGAGUGAAGAAGGCCUUCGGGUUGUAAAGCUCUUUCGGCCGGGAAGAAAUCGCAUCGGUUAAUACCCGGUGUGGAUGACGGUACCGGAAUAAGAAGCACCGGCUAACUACGUGCCAGCAGCCGCGGUAAUACGUAGGGUGCGAGCGUUAAUCGGAAUUACUGGGCGUAAAGCGUGCGCAGGCGGUUUGUUAAGAUAGGCGUGAAAUCCCCGGGCUCAACCUGGGAACUGCGCUUAUGACUGGCAGGCUAGAGUACGGCAGAGGGGGGUGGGAUUCCACGUGUAGCAGUGAAAUGCGUAGAGAUGUGGAGGAACACCAAUGGCGAAGGCAGCCCCCUGGGUCGAUACUGACGCUCAUGCACGAA